AGGGACUGAGGCCCAGUCUCUGAAUGGGAGCGACAUCAGGCUUCACAGACUGUCCAGCACGGGACUGAGACGUCAAAGGCCUCAGGCUUCUGAAUUUAUCUUGUGAUCUUUGAAACCAGCAACCUGAGAACAGAGCAGGGAGAGGAUGUGUCAGCCAUGGAUGCCAUGGUGCGAUCAACCUCAGGACCUUGAACUUGCCAGGCAGGCAUGGCCACUGAACUACAUUGACAGCCCAAGAG